UGAGGAACAUGACCUUCGGCGGGGGAGUAGCCGGCCCAACGGCCGGGUAAUACCGCGUACGACCUCUCGGGGACAUCCCGGUUGGUGAAAGCAGCAAUGCACCGAAAGAGUGCCUCGCGGCCUAUCAGCUAGUUGGUGAGGUAACGGCUCACCAAGGCGACGACGGGUAGCUGGU
rnacentral:rRNA from 1 species